AUUGAACGCUGGCGGCAUGCUGUACACAUGCAAGUCGAACGGCAGCGCGGGCUUCGGCCUGGCCGCGAGUUGCCAACGGGUGAGUAAUACAUCGGAACGUGCCCAGCAUUUGGGGAUAGCUCGGCGAAAGCCGGAUUAAUACCGCAUACGACCUGAGGGUGAAAGCCGGGGAUCUUCGGACCUCGCCCUAUUUGCUGUCCCGAUGGCAGAUUAGCUAGUUGGUUGGGUAAAGGCCUACCAAGGCGACGAUCUGUAGCUGGUCUGAGAGGACGACCAGCCACACUGGGACUGAGACACGGCCCAGACUCCUACGGGAGGCAGCAGUGGGGAAUUUUGGACAAUGGGCGAAAGCCUGAUCCAGCAAUGCCGCGUGUGUGAUGAAGGCCUUCGGGUUGUAAAGCACUUUUGGCGGGAACGAAAAGGACUGUGCCAAUACCACGGUUCGAUGACGGUACCCGCAGAAUAAGCACCGGCUAACUACGUG
rnacentral:rRNA from 1 species